AUUGAACGCUGGCGGCAGGCUUAACACAUGCAAGUCGAGCGGGGUGAUGGUGCUUGCACUAUCACUUAGCGGCGGACGGGUGAGUAAUGCUUAGGAAUCUGCCUAUUAGUGGGGGACAACAUUUCGAAAGGAAUGCUAAUACCGCAUACGUCCUACGGGAGAAAGCAGGGGAUCUUCGGACCUUGCGCUAAUAGAUGAGCCUAAGUCGGAUUAGCUAGUUGGUGGGGUAAAGGCCUACCAAGGCGACAAUCUGUAGCGGGUCUGAGAGGAUGAUCCGCCACACUGGGACUGAGACACGGCCCAGACUCCUACGGGAGGCAGCAGUGGGGAAUAUUGGACAAUGGGCGGAAGCCUGAUCCAGCCAUACCGCGUGUGUGAAGAAGGCCUUAUGGUUGUAAAGCACUUUAAGCGAGGAGGAGGCUACUUUAGUUAAUACCUAGAGAUAGUGGACGUUACUCGCAGAAUAAGCACCGGCUAACUCUGUGCCAGCCGCCGCCGUAACAC
rnacentral:rRNA from 1 species